ACCGAAUAGAUACCCGGGUAGUCCACGCCCUAAACGAUGCGAACUGGAUGUUGGGUACAUUACGGUACUCAGUGUCGAAAGCUAAACGCGUUAAGUUCGCCGCCUGGGGAGUACGGUCGCAAGACUGAAACUCAAAGGAAUUGACGGGGGCCCGCACAAGCGGUGGAGUAUGUGGUUUAAUUCGAUGCAACGCGAAGAACCUUACCUGGCCUUGACAUCUGUCGAAUCCUGCAGAGAUGCGGGAGUGCCGCAAGGAACGACAAGACAGGUGCUGCAUGGCUGUCGUCAGCUCGUGUCGUGAGAUGUUGGGUUAAGUCCCGCAACGAGCGCAACCCUUGUCCCUAGUUGCCAGCACGUAACGGUGGGAACUCUAGGGAGACUGCCGGUGACAAACCGGAGGAAGGUGGGGAUGACGUCAAGUCCUCAUGGCCCUUAC
rnacentral:rRNA from 1 species